UGCAAACAUAAUCAUAAUUUAAAUUUGGAACAAACAUAAUCAUAAUCUGGAACAAACAAACUAUGAAAUCAAAUUGCAGUAACAAAUUAAAAAUAGAAGACAACAAUGAAAUUAAAUGCAGAAGACAACAAUGAAAUAUAACAAUUAACCCAGACAAACAAGCAACAAUCAACAUAAUCAAAUUCCAAAAAACAGCAAUUAAUUUCCAAAAAUGAAAACUAAAGCAGGGUAGGGAUCUGCUUACAAACUCAGACAUUCAUAAACUCAAGCUAAGCCGAAAUUAGCAAACUCAGAAUCAGAAAUCAGAAACCAAAUAAAAGUACAAAUACAAGCAAAAUUAAAUUGAAGACUGGCAGCGAAAAAGGAGAAAUCCAAGUGACGGUGAUGGAAGAGGGGAAGUGAGCUCGGGUCAGAGGGGAUUGAAGACAGGCUUGACGUGUGAGAGAACCUGGAGAAAGUGACAUCAUCAAGAAACUUAGUAGAAAAAGAGAGAACCUGGAGAAAUAAAGGAAGAAGCUCGACUGCUCGAGCGUUCCACAGAGGUGAAAGAAAGGUCCCGGUGAGAGGAGGUGACGGCUGAGCAGUGGAAAAGAGGUGACGAUGGAGAGACGUUCGCGAUGAGAGAUUUGUAAUGGCUUCAGAU